AAAAGUAAAAAAUUCUUACUUGGUCAAGGUUCAUGCAUUGAGGAAGAUGAAGCUCUUGAUUGGGAGAAAGUUUCCAAAAACACAGCAAAGCGAGCUUGGAUCAUAGCAUUAACUUUUUUAUUAACUUGUUCCUUCAUUUGAGCUUGAAUCUUAGCUCUAACCUCAUCUUGCAAUUGAGCUCGAACGUCUUCUCUAAUGCUAUCCACCAACGAUUCCUUAGCUUGUUCGACAGCUCUUUGUACCUCUUCUUGCACAUUUUCAUUAUACCUAACUCUCUUAGAUGGUGCCUUCUUUCCAGCACCUUUGCCACGAAAAUAACUAGACUUUUGGCCAAGUACUUGUAGUAAUAUGUCAUCGCGAGUCAUUUGGGAUUCAUUCUCUUGUGUUUGUUGAACAACCUCCUCAAGUUGUUCCUGCAAUAGAUUAUCAAAGAUUAGAUGCCAAAAUAAUGCAUAAUAAAUUUUAAGAACAAUAAGAAAAGUUUUUUAACUAACAUGGAUCUUCUUGGAUUUAAGGUCAGACCAUACUAAUUCUCCUUCUUUAUUUUUCUUAGUGUGCUGAAUCAACCAAACCUGAUCUAGUGGUGCUUUUUCACCUAUUUUUGGGUCCCUCUGAAAUAAAUCAUAAAAAAAUAAGUGUUUUAUUUAGAACUUCCUAAAACUAUGUUAAAUCUUCAAUUUAUUCUAAAAUCUUACAGUUGAUUCUUCAACUUCAGCAUAAGAUCGGAUGCCACAUGUAUGCUUAGUAACUAGCUUUGCCCUAUUUGCUGCAUUUCGCUUGCUUACUUUCUACAAACAAUUGAUACAUGCAACUAAC
rnacentral:lncRNA from 1 species